rnacentral:misc_RNA from 1 species
AAGUCGUAACAAGGUUUCCGUAGGUGAACCUGCGGAAGGAUCAUUAUCAAAUGAGGUUUUAUUUUGUAGGUUGUAGGGUUAACAUACUCUGCAACCGAACAGACCAUUUUACGAAAAAUAUCUUAAUCUUAAUCACUCUUAACAAUGGAUCUCUGGGCUCUU